ensembl:lncRNA
GGAGAGUCUGAGGAGGUGAGACCCUGCUUAGAGAGUCUCUGCAGUCGGCUCUCUGCAGGUGAGACUCCCAGUUGGUUGGUUUAAAACAGAGGAUGCACGGUUUUGUUGAAGAAACUUCCAUGAGAGAACUUUGUGGUUCUAACACUGUACGCCGGGGAACUGAACGACGGGAAUCAAAGCACGGGCUGGUCACCGGGAGACGAGGUGUCGGUGCGGCGCUUCACAGAGAGAGAGAGAGAGAGAGAGCUGUUCGUCUACUGUGGCUGUGGACCUGCGGUAAACCACCUUCCAACACUGCACAGCCAUGCAAGAACUUAACACUGCC